rnacentral:lncRNA from 1 species
CUGAAUUGACAAGUUGAAAGAAUCUGGUCUUUUUGUGCUUGCCUACAAAACUGUCAGAUCUUAUAUUUGUUCGCCAAACAAAAACGACUGAUGGUUGAUUGUCUCAACCAUGAACGAGCAUUUCUGGAUUGUAGAACAAAGAGGUGCUUUAUUUUCCUUUUCUAUUAUCUACAUGUUUGUCUGUACAUUUGCACUUUUCCUCGAGCGUAUUGGUUUCUAAUACCAUUUUUAAGCCCCGUGGAACCUUCGACCAGUAAAAAAAUGUUCGAAGAAACUUGCUCUGAGCUCUGUGUGAUCAGGUUUAUGUGUUUCUAUUGUACAGUGUCCCGGGCAAAAGGAUCAAGUGUUGGCAGGUGGGCAUCGGGAGUCCAGGUGGUUGGCUUCAGCCUUUGAGGUGCUGCCGGCUAGCGGCGCCGCUUUUGAGCGUCUCCUCAUCUCACUCCCGUGGCACCUUCGACUGGUAAGAUUUCCCCUUCUCUCUCUCUGACUGUCCGAUCGAUUUUUGUUUAUUAAUCUUUCUUAUCCAUAAUGAUUAUCCCUCUUUGUUGUCUGCAGGUGGUCAUGCUGGUUUUCUCUUCCGGUUGAUUGUUAGCCCCCUACAAGAGUUGUCACAAUAUGAAAAGGCUCCAAAAGGUGUCACAGUCAGGAAUCUUUUUUC